rnacentral:rRNA from 1 species
GUGAGUGAUCGGAACGUACAUCAUAGGCGUCAAACAGGAGCAAGAAGUAGAAAACAGACCCAGUUUACGAAGUUACGUGUACGAGAAGUUGGAAUAGAAGACUAAAGAAACACGUUAACGCUACAUCGUGCGGCUUGGUGAUUUAAUUCCCGAUUUUUUUGGAUACGUUUGGGACAGUAAAAGGAUUACGUUAACCGUCUCGGGCAACUGGUGUAGAUAAGAAGAGCGUAAAAACAAAACGAGACUAAAAAGAGGUUCCACACGCAUACGUACUAACUAAUGAACGAACCACUCGGCUCUCCCUGUCAAGUACAGGAACUGGUAAAGUGGUACUUAUCUGUUAACCACAGUGGAAGUAUAUCGUUGACCGGAUAAGACUGGAAGUUUGUCUACUAGUUGAUUUUAGUAAAGUCCCUGGGAGCUCUUUGACGGGUCCGUACCUCGAGAAAGGUACCGAGUAGGACAAACCACAAGAACACGUCCGAAGACAGUAGGACCGACUAUGUUUACGCGUUCUGUGACGACCGGAGUGGCCCUAACGUCGAAGGACCCUGUGGUUUGGUAGUUUGACCCUACCGUUACUAGGUACGCCGCUGUUCACCUAGCCCUAUUAAACGUGGGUCCUGGCCCAGUGUAGGUAUUCUAACAGUUCAGUUAGUGACAGGCCUUGAGAAAGCCCCCUGUAAGUUAGAGACAGCCUUGAUGUUAUGAACCUGAAUAGGAUGUUGUUCCUGAACCCACCGAGAGAAGGAAGUAGGUAACCUUCGAACUCGUUGGAGGUUUUAAAUUAUGAACAACCGACGUCGAAACGACCACUUUAUGGAUUUCUCUAACCGGUCGAGAGUUUCAACUAUAAAGAUAGAGACUUGAGGUUGUCCAAGUGACCAGCGUAUGGCGGCAGUGAGCCACCGGAGAGUUUCGAUAUGACCAAACUAGACCGACUGUUAUUCGAGUGACCUCCUGAAGGCCAUAAGCUACCUUGUUUAGGGCCAAACCUAUUAGACUGUUUAUGUUUCGUGAAGGUGAAGCCGCAGUUAGUCGAGAGACCGUGGUAUGGCUCGGUCUAAAAGUUGAGUGUUUACUUCGACUAUGUAAAAGAACAGCUGUUGUUGUUGAAAAGACCGUCGUAGGGGGGAUGAGAUCCGGAAGAAUUACACGACCUUCAAGAUGCAAAACUAUUGUUGUUAGUCAACAGACCCGGUCAAGGGUGGUUGUAGUUGUUGGAGUGGUUCGACCGACUUGAGGUAGAUCUUUUGUUGCCCGAGUGACCGGGAGACGGUCUGGACUGUCCUUACUCACGUGAGUCGAAACACCUGUACUCAUUGUUGUCGAAGUUACGUAGGCUAAGAGGUCGGACCAACUGACGAAACGGCAGAAACUGAAGUAAUAUGGAUCUCUUAGACGUUUAGCCGCCUGUCGAGGGCGUUCUCGAAAAGUGGGAAGGACGUUAAGUCUGUGACUUCGAAGCCCCGUUGGCGAAGUUGCCGUGGGAUUUGUAACCCAGUCUGAAGUCAUCAGUCGAGGUUUGUUAACUAAACGUCCUGUUAGUUUAGCUUCGCUAGUGACAACCCCCUUGGGUUAUGUUGUUCUUCGAGUAUGAAAAUCCUUUGGGUUAUACGUUGGUUCCCUUGUUGCUCGUUAUGACGUUUCGGCGCGGUGUUAGGUUGGGCCGCCGUGGCGGUAUACGAUGAGGAUUCUUGACGAGUCCCGACGGUCGUUGUACGGAGAGUUCGGUUGAAGACUCGGGUUCGACGUGUACACGGCAUGGCAUGUUUCCGUGUGACAAGAAGUCUCGUGGUAGCAAAAGACUGGAGUCGUUGCUCAGUAUGAUAGUAGAUGACCUCUUCCUGUACUUCUGGUUCAAGAACAGUAUGUCACGGGGGCAGCUGAGCUAGCGAGAAGUAUUGGGUAAGCAACUACACUUGUUGUUGAACGUCGACUCGAACCUCCAGAAGGGGCCGCCGUUCCAAGUCAAACCCCGCGUCCUGUAAAGACUGUAACCCAAGUAAAACUCGUUAGUUUGCAUAUUCGGCGGGCGACAAAAGCCAGGUAUGAUAAAGUAGCGGGUUUCGAUGGCAUAACGUUGUCUCCACGGUCGUAGAUUUUUUAGUUUCCGCUUGUUCAACGGUGAAUAGCAGCCUCAGCGUCGGCCACCACGUCAACAAUAACGUCACGACGAAGAACAAUAAAAAAAGUAGUGCUCUGCCUUCUCUCUUGGUUUCUUCUGGCUUCUCUCUUCGGUCAGAAAGCGAAGAAACCUGUACUUCUCGUGGUCGUGGUCACACGGUGUCGACGCGCCACGCGCGUGCAAGUGCAAGCGACUUGACUUCUUCUAUUGGUUAUUGAAGAGCCUCCGCUUGCUGUAUCCUUUACCGCCGAAGCCCUUCCAAAUGUCCCCCUGUGAAGGUUGACCCGUUGACUAGCGACAGUUCUCUAGGGUCCUCCCUAGGGACGUCCCCUCGGACCUUAAGUCUUGGCUCUAGCUCGAGGACAGGUCCCAAGUGGUGUUCUUACACCACUCGGAGGAGCCAAAGACGGAACUGGUCCCGCUCGUCUACGACCAGAUGCUCAUGUAGGGGUUACCGUGUGAGUUUCUCUCGGAGUGUCCGUUCAGGCCGCACGCCGACCUGACCUUCGCCUCCGAGGCACAGUAGGAGCCGUGCCGGUUCCCGUAGCGGAUGGAGGUGCUCGAGCGUCUGGGAGGCUAACAGGUGGCCCUGUAGUUCAGCUCGUUGCAAGAGGAGCUGCUCGCCGAGUUACGGUUCCAGAGCCUGAAACCGGAGAGGUUCGAAGAUCCGCUCCUGCCGUCCCCCGUCCAGUGGUGUGUUCACUUCCCGUGUUACCCAAUGAACCUGGGACUCAUGAUGUACUGCGUCGUCGACUGCCUCUUCUCGCUGCAGAUGUCGAAGCCGCACGACGACGACCUCUACUAGUGCCGGUUCUUCGGCGACCUCGCGCCCGCCAUGUAGCAGGCCCUCCACGAGCGGCGCGAGCUGGCCUCGUUCCUAGACAUGCCGGACGUGCUGGACGACCUGGGCCACGACCCGCGCAGCGGGUGCAGCGACCCGCCCGACCUCGUCAUACACCUGGACCGAGACGCGACGCACCUCCUCCGGCCGCGCCUGGCGGGGAGGUACCCGCUCCGCCACUCGCUCUAGCUCGCCUAGUGGUCCUACCGGCCGCCGCCGGGGCUCAGCCGCAGGCUCAGGUACUCGAUGCGGUCGUCCUGCGGCGCGGUGGGGAUACCUCCUCUGUCGGGCAGCCUCAUGUCGCCGCCGCCCGACGGCAGUAGCUCCCACCUCGGGUUCACUUCGAUCGAUCAACCGUACCAGUACAUAGCAUGGUAUAGUUCACACUCACUACGCACUCGACUUAAACACACGAUACAAAACAUGUCGAAUGAAUGGAAUAUAUACAUUUAAAACCAACUACGAUUAAUCGCAGACCUAAUUCGUAAUCCACUACAUAUUUUCUCUUCGCCUAAUAUUAAAAGAGAGAAUCAAUUAAUCAAAGAGAAAGUGAAACUCUCAAGCUUGACGCCC